AUUGAACGCUGGCGGCAGGCCUAACACAUGCAAGUCGAACGAGUGGCGGACGGGUGAGUAAUGUCUGGGAACCUGCCCGAUGGCGGGGGAUAACUACUGGAAACGGUAGCUAAUACCGCAUACCAUCAGAUGUGCCCAUAUGGGAUUAGCUUGUUUGUGGGGUAACGGCUCACCAAGGCGACGAUCCCUAGCUGGUGUGAGAGGAUGACAAGCCAAACUGGAACUGAGACACGGCCCAGACUCCUACGGGAGGCAGCAGUGGGGAAGAUGGGACAAUGGGCGCAACCCUGAUGCAGCCAUGCCGCGUGUAUGAAGAAGGCCUUCGGGUUGUAAAGUACUUUCAGCGGGGAGGCGUUACCCGCAGAAGAAGCACCGGCUAACUACGUGCCAGCAGCCGCGGUAAUAC
rnacentral:rRNA from 1 species